rnacentral:rRNA from 1 species
GACACGCUGGCGGCGUGCUUUAACACAUGCAAGUCGAACGGGAGUAUUUGAAGAAGCUUUGCUUUUAGAGAUACUUUAGUGGCGGACGGGUGAGUAACGCGUGAGGAGCUGUCCUAUGCAGGGGGACAACAGCUGGAAACGGCUGCUAAUACCCCAUAAGCCGAGAGGUAAAAGGAUCAAUCCGGCAGAGGAGGUACUCGCGUCCUAUCAGCUAGUAGGUGAGGUAACGGCUCACCUAGGCGAAGACGGGUAGCCGGCCUGAGAGGGCGAACGGCCACACUGGAACUGAGACACGGUCCAGACUCCUACGGGAGGCAGCAGUGGGGAAUAUUGGGCAAUGGGGGAAACCCUGACCCAGCGACGCCGCGUGGGUGAAGAAAUCCUUCGGGAUGUAAAGCCCUGUUGUAUGGGAAGAGCGGAAGACGGUACCAUACGAGGAAGCCCCGGCAAACUACGUG